rnacentral:rRNA from 1 species
UACGUAGGGGGCAAGCGUUGUCCGGAAUUAUUGGGCGUAAAGAGCGUGUAGGCGGCCAGAUAAGUCCGCUGUGAAAUCUCGAGGCUCAACUUCGAGCUGUCGGUGGAAACUGUCUGGCUAGAGUCCGGAAGAGGAGAAUGGAAUUCCUGGUGUAGCGGUGAAAUGCGCAGAUAUCAGGAAGAACACCCGUGGCGAAGGCGGUUCUCUGGGCCGGAACUGACGCUAAGGAGCGAAAGCGUGGGGAGCGAACAGG